GUAGGUGGCAAGCGUUGUCCGGAAUUAUUGGGCGUAAAGCGCGCGCAGGCGGUUCUUUAAGUCUGAUGUGAAAGCCCACGGCUCAACCGUGGAGGGUCAUUGGAAACUGGAGAACUUGAGUACAGAAGAGGAAAGCGGAAUUCCACGUGUAGCGGUGAAAUGCGUAGAGAUGUGGAGGAACACCCAGUGGCGAAGGCGGCUUUCUGGUCUGUAACUGACGCUGAGGCGCGAAAGCGUGGGGAGCAAACAGGGAUUAGAUACCCUGGUAGUCCACGCCGUAAACGAUGAGUGCUAAGUGUUAGGGGGGUUUUCCGCCCCCCUUAGUGCUGCAGCUAACGCAUUAAGCACUCCGCCUGGGGAGUACGGCCGCAAGGCUG
rnacentral:rRNA from 1 species